CCAUGCUACACAGUAUCCAUUUUUCCCCACCUGCAUGUGCAGGAACAUUAUACUGAUGAGCUGUAACAGCUGAGAAGUGAUUUGACUUUGUGUGUGUGUGUGUGUGUGUGUGUGUGUGUGUGUGUGCGCGCCUGCAGUGUCGUGACGUCAGAACCCGGGAAGUGGGCAUCCAAGAGAUCCACCACAAAGUCCGACCUUACCAGGUGGAGCUGAUACGGAGAGACUAUGUGGCCAACAGCAGCUGGGAGACCUUUCUCUCCUAUGAAGACCCUGAGCAGGACAUCCUGAUUGGUCUGUUGCGGCUGCGCCGCUGCUCUCCACAGUCCUUCCGCCCGGAGCUCAAAGGAGGCGUGUCCAUUGUCCGUGAGCUGCACGUGUAUGGCAGCGUGGUCCCCGUGAGCAGCCGAGACCCGAGCAAGUUCCAGCAUCAGGGCUUCGGCAUGAUGCUGAUGGAGGAGGCUGAGAGAAUCGCCAGGGAGGAGCACGGCUCCUGCAAACUGGCUGUUAUCUCAGGUGUAGGAACGAGGAACUACUACAGGAAGAUGGGCUACGAGCUGGAGGGACCGUAUAUGGUGAAGGACCUGUACUGGCCGGACUGAACGGAGUUUAUUUAUCAAAACACACUCUGGGACACGAAUAUUAAUGUGAUGGUGUUCUGCAGUAUCGGAGGCGGUGCUGGUCGGCCUGUUUUAUCUGGAGCGCACAGAGGCCGCCGCUGCUCCAUUUCUUCUGUUUUUUAAAGAUAAGGAGACGCACGAGAGGAUGUAAGGAAUUAGGGAACGUUAUCUGGGGUGAAGCCAGCCUUUGAGUUCAAAUUAAGAUUCUUUAAACGUACAGUGUCAUCAUAUGGGUGCCUUUUAUUUAAAGUUGCGCAUUUCCGAGUCUCCCCCUUUUUCUGUAAACACGGGUCCCGGUCGCACCGCUCAGCCUCACAACAAGCAGCACUGAUUCACUUUGACGUGGAACAAGAGCCGACCUGCCGAGCAUUUUUAAUUCCACUGCAAUGAUCCGUG